UACAUGGGGUGCAAACGUUGCUCGGAAUUAUUGGGCGUAAAGCGCGCGUAGGCGGUUACUUAAGUCGGAUGUGAAAGCCCUCGGCUUAACUGAGGAAGUGCACCCGAAACUGAGUAGCUGGAGUACGAAAGAGGGUCGCGGAAUUCCCGGUGUAGAGGUGAAAUUCGUAGAUAUCGGGAGGAACACCGGUGGCGAAGGCGGCGACCUGGGUCGAGACUGACGCUGAGGCGCGAAAGCGUGGGGAGCGAACAGG
rnacentral:rRNA from 1 species